rnacentral:rRNA from 1 species
GAUGAACGCUGGCGGCGUGCCUAAUACAUGCAAGUCGAGCGAACAGACGAGGAGCUUGCUCCUCUGACGUUAGCGGCGGACGGGUGAGUAACACGUGGAUAACCUACCUAUAAGACUGGGAUAACUUCGGGAAACCGGAGCUAAUACCGGAUAAUAUAUUGAACCGCAUGGUUCAAUAGUGAAAGACGGUUUUGCUGUCACUUAUAGAUGGAUCCGCGCCGCAUUAGCUAGUUGGUAAGGUAACGGCUUACCAAGGCAACGAUGCGUAGCCGACCUGAGAGGGUGAUCGGCCACACUGGAGCUGAGACACGGUCCAGACUCCUACGGGAGGCAGCAGUAGGGAAUCUUCCGCAAUGGGCGAAAGCCUGACGGAGCAACGCCGCGUGAGUGAUGAAGGUCUUCGGAUCGUAAAGCUCUGUUAUUAGGGAAGAACAAAUGUGUAAGUAACUAUGCACGUCUUGACGGUACCUAAUCAGAAAGCCACGGCUAACUACGUG